rnacentral:rRNA from 1 species
UAGGGAAUCUUCCGCAAUGGACGCAAGUCUGACGGAGCAACGCCGCGUGAGUGAAGAAGGAUUUCGGUUCGUAAAACUCUGUUGUUAGAGAAGAACAGCGCAUAGAGUAACUGUUAUGCGUGUGACGGUAUCUAACCAGAAAGCCACGGCUAACUACGUGCCAGCAGCCGCGGUAAUACGUAGGUGGCAAGCGUUGUCCGGAUUUAUUGGGCGUAAAGCGAGCGCAGGCGGUCAAUUAAGUCUGAUGUGAAAUCCCCCGGCUCAACCGGGGAGGGUCAUUGGAAACUGGUUGACUUGAGUGCAGAAGAGGAGAGUGGAAUUCCAAGUGUAGCGGUGAAAUGCGUAGAUAUAUGGGGGAAAACCGGUGGCGAAAGCGGCUCUCUGGUCUGUAACUGACGCUGAGGCUCGAAAGCGUGGGGAGCGAACAGG